rnacentral:rRNA from 1 species
AGUGAACGCUGGCGGUAGGCCUAACACAUGCAAGUCGAACGGCAGCACAGGAGAGCUUGCUCUCUGGGUGGCGAGUGGCGGACGGGUGAGGAAUACAUCGGAAUCUACUUUUUCGUGGGGGAUAACGUAGGGAAACUUACGCUAAUACCGCAUACGACCUACGGGUGAAAGCAGGGGAUCUUCGGACCUUGCGCGAUUGAAUGAGCCGAUGUCGGAUUAGCUAGUUGGCGGGGUAAAGGCCCACCAAGGCGACGAUCCGUAGCUGGUCUGAGAGGAUGAGCAGCCACACUGGAACUGAGACACGGUCCAGACUCCUACGGGAGGCAGCAGUGAGGAAUAUUGGACAAUGGGCGCAAGCCUGAUCCAGCCAUACCGCGUGGGUGAAGAAGGCCUUCGGGUUGUAAAGCCCUUUUGUUGGGAAAGAAAUCCAGCUGGUUAAUACCCGGUUGGGAUGACGGUACCCAAAGAAUAAGCACCGGCUAACUUCGUGCCAGCCGCCGCGGUAA